rnacentral:rRNA from 1 species
GUAAGGAAUAUUGGUCAAUGGGCGCAAGCCUGAACCAGCCACGCCGCGUGAAGGAAGACGGCCCUAUGGGUUGUAAACUUCUUUUCUACGGGAAUAAACCUCAGGACGUGUCCUGAGCUGAAGGUAUCGUAGGAAUAAGGAUCGGCUAACUCCGUGCCAGCAGCCGCGGUAAUACGGAGGAUCCAAGCGUUAUCCGGAUUUAUUGGGUUUAAAGGGUGCGUAGGUGGGAUGAUAAGUCAGAGGUGAAAGCUAGCAGCUUAACUGUUAAAUUGCCUUUGAUACUGUUAUUCUUGAGUGUAGUUGGCGUUGGCGGAAUGUGACAUGUAGCGGUGAAAUGCGUAGAUAUGUCACAGAACACCGAUCGCGAAGGCAGCUAACGAAGCUAUCACUGACACUGAUGCACGAAAGCGUGGGGAGCAAACAGGAUUAGAAACCCUUGUAGUCC